rnacentral:lncRNA from 1 species
AGGAGGAAGGGUCGGGGGGGGGGGGGGCGGAGGAGGUCCGGGAACAGCAAGGGAACGCAGAGCGCAGCAAUGGGUAUAAAUACAAAUACAGCAGCACCAGCCGGUCUUCCAGACUCUGGGCAGGGCUCGCUGGUGGGAACCCCUCCCCCCCAAGCGGCUGGGGGGUUUGGAGGGAGAGCUGCCUGCCUCCCCAGCACCUGCUUCGCGGGUCUUCCUCUCCGGCUGCAGGUCCGCGCUGGGGGCUGCUCCCGCUUCCCCCACUCCCGUAGCACUGUGGGCCCCUUCCUGGCCCAGGCCGCCACUCCGCCGCUCCCGAGGCGGCACGAGCCCCGUGCACGGGCUCAGGUUGAGGCGAGCGGAGAGCUAGGAGCGCGCCGCGGAUUCUGCGCACUGUUUGGUAUUUGGCAACCCCUGGUGUCAUCCCGGCUACCCUGGCACUGGUCGCGGCUCUGGGAUCCUCUGCGUGGAGAAAGGAGGCGCGCACGAGAAGAAGAGCCUCUCGAACUACGGCGGAAGAGGGGACGUACCCUAGAAAAUGUUGGAGAUUUUUCCUAG